GAAUCUUCCGCAAUGGACGCAAGUCUGACGGAGCAACGCCGCGUGAACGAUGAAGGUUUUCGGACCGUAAAGUUCGGCUGUUAGGGAAGAAUAGGUAUCGUUCGAAUAGGGCGUUACUGUGACGGUACCUGACGAGACAGCCACGGCUAACUACGUGCCAGCAGCCGCGGUAAUACGUAGGUGGCAAGCGUUGUCCGGAAUUAUUGGGCGUAAAGCGAGAGCAGGCGGUCUUUUAAGUCUGAUGUGAAAUCUUGCGGCUUAACCGUAAGCGGUCAUUGGAAACUGGGAGACUUGAGUACAGGAGAGGAGAGUGGAAUUCCACGUGUAGCGGUGAAAUGCGUAGAGAUGUGGAGGAACACCAGUGGCGAAGGCGACUCUCUGGUCUGUGACUGACGCUGAGGCGCGAAAGCGUGGGAAGCAAACAG
rnacentral:rRNA from 1 species